GAAGAGAGUUGUUAAUAAUUGUCAAAACAAAUAAAUCACAUUAUUACAUGCGAUCGUAAUGCAGCUAACAAGGAUCAGGACGUGGAAAAUAUAGAUAAUAUAGCAGUAAAUGUUGAUGAAAAAAUAAAGUCAAAUCAUAGACAACGGAGCAGAAAAACAAAGAUGUUGAUUGAAAGAAAAAAAAAACAUCAGGAUGAUAGUAAAUAACAGUGACGAUAAUGAAGAGGACAUAAAUAGAUGGAAAUGAUCAGGAAAAUUAAAUCUGAGAAUUAGAUCCGAAUAAACCUGAAAACAGAAGUGACAACAAUUAACUCAAGAAGCAGGUAGAAGGUAAAAAGAUUUAUUAAUUAAUUGGUCAAUGGGUUCUGAGGCAAGUAAAUUCAGAGUGUGGAGAGAAUCAAGUAAAUUAAUUUUUAAAAUUUGAUGAUUUCAUUAUGACUACGGUGAGUGUGAAUGUUACCCAUCAGACGAAUUUGAAAUUAAA